rnacentral:siRNA from 1 species
AAGAACGUAGCGAAAUGCGAU